rnacentral:rRNA from 1 species
AUUGAACGCUGGCGGCAUGCCUUACACAUGCAAGUCGAACGGUAACGCGGGGCAACCUGGCGACGAGUGGCGAACGGGUGAGUAAUGUAUCGGAACGUGCCCAGCUGUGGGGGAUAACGGCGCGCAAGAGCAGCUAAUACCGCAUACGACGUGAGGGGGAAAGCGGGGGAUCGCAAGACCGCGCGCAGUUGGAGCGGCCGAUAUCAGAUUAGGUAGUUGGUGAGGUAAAGGCUCACCAAGCCGACGAUCUGUAGCUGGUCUGAGAGGACGACCAGCCACACUGGGACUGGGACACGGCCCAGACUCCUGCGGGAGGCAGCAGUGGGGGAUUUUGGACAAUGGACGCAAGUCUGAUCCAGCCAUGCCGCGUGCGGGAAGAAGGCCUUCGGGUUGUAAACCGCUUUUGUCAGGGAAGAAACGCUCUGGGUUAAUACCUCAGGGUAAUGACGGUACCUGAAGAAUAAGCACCGGCUAACUACGUGCCAGCCGCCGCCGUAAGAC